GACGAACGCUGGCGGCGUGCUUAACACAUGCAAGUCGAACGGAAAGGCCCUGCUUUUGUGGGGUGCUCGAGUGGCGAACGGGUGAGUAACACGUGAGUAACCUGCCCUUGACUUUGGGAUAACUUCAGGAAACUGGGGCUAAUACCGGAUAGGAGCUCCUGCGGCAUGGUGGGGGUUGGAAAGUUUCGGCGGUUGGGGAUGGACUCGCGGCUUAUCAGCUUGUUGGUGGGGUAGUGGCUUACCAAGGCUUUGACGGGUAGCCGGCCUGAGAGGGUGACCGGCCACAUUGGGACUGAGAUACGGCCCAGACUCCUACGGGAGGCAGCAGUGGGGAAUAGUGCACAAUGGGCGGAAGCCUGAUGCAGCAACGCCGCGUGCGGGAUGACGGCCUUCGGGUUGUAAACCGCUUUCGCCUGUGACGAAGCGUGAGUGACGGUAAUGGGUAAAGAAGCACCGGCUAACUACGUG
rnacentral:rRNA from 1 species